GACGAACGCUGGCGGCGUGCCUAAUACAUGCAAGUCGAACGCAGUGGGGACGGGUGAGUAACACGUGGGUAACCUCCCAUCAGAGGGGAUAACACUUGGAAACAGGUGCUAAACCGAUACUGAUGGAUGGACCCGCGGUGCAUUAGCUAGUUGGUGAGGUAACGGCGCACCAAGGCCACGAUGCAUAGGCGUGCUGGGAGGGUGAUCGGCCCGACGGGGGAUGAGAGACGGCGCAGACUCCUACAGGCGGCAGCAGUAGGGAAUCUGCGGUAAAUGACGAAAGUCUGAACGAGCAACGCGGCGUGGGAGAAGAAGUGUUUCGGAUCGUAAUACUCUGUUGUUAGAGAAGUGGUAUCUAACCAGAAAGCCACGGAUAACGACGCACCAGCCGCGGUAAUAC
rnacentral:rRNA from 1 species